UAUAUUUUUUAUAAUUUUUUAAGUCGCUUAAAUUUCUAUCGAUUUAAAAAAAAAAUUUCCACGUCCAUUCUAACUCCCUAAAGCCGCCGAACCGGUAUGCCCACACUUCUGAACAAUUAAAUGUAAAUUUGUUCUAAUUUUAUCCUUAAUAUCUAUAGAUAUCCCAGAACAAUUAUGAAAUUUCGCGUUUGCAUUCACACCAUCUGAUUAACGGGUAUCUGACAGGCGGGAAACUCUCUUGUUUUCAAUAAAUUUUCAACUUAGUCUCGACAAAAAUGGUGCCUUCGACUUGAGAGCCCAGCACCUGUUCACCUUAAUCUGGGAACGCUGACAUCUUUGUAGGCCCCAGAUCCCCAGAGUACCUGGGUAUGGAAUCAUUUCCUCGGCGGAGGUUAAUCUGACAUCUGAAAUUAGAAUUAAAGUGUAAAACCUAACAAAUAAAGAUCAAGAAAACAAGAACUACUGGAAGUUGUUACUGGUAGCCGGGUGAUCACGGUUGAUAUACAUUUGAUGGAACGUACGUGCAAAAUCGGAGCUAGCUGCACAUAUCUCGUAGCGAGCAGACCAACAAAAUUAGUGCGUUAUAAUACUCUUUAACUUUACUAUUAUAAACACGAGCUAUAGUCAAAUUCCUCGUAUAUCAUAUACCCGUUACUCAGCUAGUGUGAAAUUCACACUGUGAAUACGAACUCGAAAUUUCAUAAUUUUUCUGGGUAUCGAUAGAUAUGGGAGAAUAAAAUGGAAAAAAUUUAAAAAUUGUUUCAAAGCGUGGGCUUAGCAGUAUUGUACGGUCGUGGCAACAUGGUCAAACAAACUUGCGCUGCGUCUUUGUCUAGAGAAUCUGUACGCUUAAUGUCAACCUUCUUGCUUUUAUAGUUGCCGUUUAAAAAAACCGAAAUCGUCAUCUGGAAAAAUCAAUACUUAGCAAUUAACGAUGGAGCCUAAUCCAACUACAACAAUUUUAACAAAGUGUUUAUUAAUCUAUACAUCGUUAUGCACUUCUUCCAUAUCUAGACAAAUUUCAUAGCUUUCUGCAUAUCUUAUCUGGGUCAAUUUUUGAAGUAGUGCAGGGAUAUCAGGUAGCCGGCGAGGCACACGGACACACUGCUACUCUCUCAAAUGACAUUUCAAAGGUGUAACGCCAAACACGACACUAGUACAAAUUACGAUAAACUCUUACUGAGGAUGAAAGUCUCUGUAACGACAUUACGAAAAUACAGUACCUCUGACUUCUACAGGUAUUUCAAGUCAAUGUUGUGUCUAGUAGCUCAGUUCGACUUAAAAAACGUUAUGAUUAUAAUGUUUUAAAAUUAAUCUAUUCAAAUUCAUGACUUGUUAAUAUACAAAUAAUUGCAAAGAAUUUGUAAGAAAUCACCAUUGAGUUUCAACAGUAACCAGAAGCUCGCGUAUAAUUUUAUGUAGGUCCAUCAACACGUGAACAAUCACUUUUUUGGUACAUAUUUUAUUUUUCAUUGUUUUAGAAGGCCCCCAGGAAAUAUUUUGUUAGGGUGACGGCACAGUGCGCGCGAGAAGCGAAGCUAUAAUAUUGGGCAAGAACGAGCGAUAAACCACUGCAUGCAUUUUUAAGAGCAAUCGCUCGAGAGAUGUCAGAGUGAGAGCGAAGCGAUAAAGCGAGAGCAAAGAGAGAGAGAGCAGCUUGUAAGCUGUUUUAUCGCUUCAACUUGCUCAGUGUGUACGAUCGCCUUGUUGUAUUAUGUGCUUUAAUUACCGUUUGUUUUAAAAGCAAACCUUUUAUUUUGUUUUGAAAUUUUUUUUUAGUUGCGCGUGUUGCAAAAAAUUUCCUCGUCCGAAUUCAUUACGUUCACAUUAAUAACUAAAAGAGAGCAAUGUAGCUCGUUACUCGCAAAGAUCUCACUCUGUCAUUUUCACACCAUCCGUCACCGUUACCAUAGUAUCAAAGACAUUAGAAUAUUCUAGUGUCUUUGAAAAUACCACAGUAGACUUAAUUUAAGUAAGAAAAAAAUAAAUUUAAGUGGCCAUCCAAAAUUAUCAAAUAAGAGAAUAACUAAGUCUUCCGAUUGAACCAAUACGCAAACCACGAUCAGCUCUCAGGGAAAAAAUGCCAAAACCGAACAUGCGGAAUUUUUCGAGACGCAAAGUGCCGGGUACUCUAAACGGGACAUGGGCAUAAAUGACGCGUGGCGAAAAAGUUGAAGGACCGAGAAACAUAAAACCCAAGAUCGUGAAACCGUAUUUCACGUGGUCAGGACAAGGAAGAGAAAGCAAGAUACUGGCGACGGCGAGGACGGCGAGCAUUUUUGAGUGCGAUAGGAACAGAUAGGGCUAAGCAAGGAGAUAUAUAUUAAAAAAAUAAAUAAUUUCCAAAUGUUAUCUGUGAUUAUGUCGCCUACGAGUACUCGUUAUGCCGCGACGGUGCCGUCUGCGUGUAACCGGUCCCGUUCGCAUCAUUUUAGCUAUAAUUGUAUAUGUGAUUAGGCCGCCGCCUGUGAAUUAUCGUAGAGUUCCUCAGGAACCGAUCAACCAUUUACCAAAUAUAACCUUAUGAUACCCCCGCUCAACUGUCUCCAUAAUAAUACAUUUAUCUGAAGACGAUCCUUGGUGGACUGAGACGCCGAUCCCAGCAAAAGCAUCCUUACCAGCAUCCAUUUUGUCAUGUGAAACCUCCAGUCUUCCUUUCUUGUAGCUCAAUGGCUUUUUUUUAAACUUUGACAAUGGAAACUUUUGGAUUGUCCGAACCUUUAUAGACUCUGAAUUGGAACUACAUUUAAGUUCUAAAGAGAUUUCGAAACGUUUAGCGAUAAGUGAAAGCUCGGAUAUUUUUAACCAAAUGAACUACAAAGUGUACACAAAUCACAAGUUUAGAGUUGUGAUACUGCGAUAUCUAAAGGUUUUUGGUGCCAUCCGUUAAUACAAAUGCUCAAUAGAUACAAGCAUACCGAUGCUUAUCGCAAAGGCUUUGGCUUGCUAAUUGGUGGAAGCGCAAUGGAACAGUGCCUCUGAGUUCUAAAAUCUUGGUUUCCAUUUCGACUCAAGUGUGCCACCCUCUCAUGUGAUGAUAUCAAGUGACGGUACUUUUCUACAAACAAAAACCUGGAAUGAUUCAAAGUUUCUCAUUUACUGGACCCGACUUACGGACAGCGAUUGGAUUUACCCUACUAAGUCUUUUCUUUGUAUUUUGCUUAUUCAAUGUGGCUUUUACAACGGAACAAAUGCUUUGAUAUUCAACGUUUUAAUUUGUGUCGCGGAACGGAUUUGUAACGAAAGCGGUCACAAAAGUAUCGGUUUGUAAAGCCAACCUCCGCUCUGUGGUUAUUCCGAUUAGAGUGAUCAGAGGAACCUGGAGGAACGACUGCGAGUAAAAUCCAUCACUGUAUCCUACCCACACAAGAUCUGACUUUUUCUCUUGAUGCGGUAUAGCGGAUUAAAGACAACUCUCAGGUGAUCAUCGUCCGGUCGGUGUCAAUUUGUCUUGCCAAUUUUUAACAGUAUACCAAAUUUUUUAAGCCACCACUUCUGAUGUCCAAAAACAAUACGAAAUUUUCUGGAUUUGGAUUCGUUGAAAAGUAUGUAACAGGCAGAAGGUAGCAUUUCCGACCAUAUAAAGUAUACUUUAAGCACGCAAGCCGACAAAAACUGACACACCCAUAUUUUUAUAAAUCUUGAAAAAUUUUUUUCGUUUUGCCAAAAAUAACGCGCACACUCGAACGACCACAAGCCAGCCACUUCUGAAAAAUUAAACAAAUUUUUUCUUUAUUAAUUGGUUUGUUAAAAAACGUCCAAGAUAUAAAUUCUGCGAAGGUUUUAAUGUUCACAUAUAUUCUUAAAUUCUGUAUGUAAAUAUCAUUACCUGAAUCUACAAUCUAUUUCAGUCACAUAUGAAAUAUCUACAGACCCGGAGCAAAUUUAAUAAUUUAUAUAUGAAUUCCAAAAAAAAAAACAUUUUACCGUAGCAGCGUUUCCGUGCAUUCAACCUUUCGACCUAAAAUCAGGACCUUAUCCUAGUGACGGAUUUUGAAAGAGUCUUUAAUCGUAUGGAGACUUCUGGUGUACUUGCCGUCUCGGGAACUGGGAAAUUGGUCGAAGGCUGAAUAAUGUUAAUAAAGCGUUCAUGACCAAUCGCUACUUCAGGGUUCGAUAGAACCAAAAACACUAGAAUAACAAGAUGUGUAACCCCAUACGUUGUUGCACACAAUUUUUUCGUACUGGCUCUAGAGGGUCUCCAGCAAAUCAAUUUUCUUUUAGUUUUAAAGAUGGUAACUUUGAAUACCGUUAAACUUUGAGGCACCUCAUCUGUGCAGCUCGGGCUUUAGUUUUUUUAAUAACCCUUUGAAUUAACGAUUUACACGGGUUUUCACCAUUUUUUUUUAUCGAAUUAUCGGAGGUAUCGUAGGAAUUGCAAGGUUUUCGGGGUAUGGACCUGCGAUCUCCCGCUUUGCAAACAAUGUUAUUGCCACCAUUAUAGUUUUUUCCAUAAGUUUACUUGUUUUUAAUAAAAUUGUCUAAAGUUU